AAACCAGUUCAUACAUUGUAAACAUGGACAAUUCGGCAUGGAUUUAGACACAGAAAGCACGUUUGAGGUAAAAUUGCCUUGAAAUGGGGGUUUACGGGUGUUUUCUAAGUCAAAUGGGUGGACAGACAAAGCUGUAUUUAGUUUACUGUGUUAAAUUUUAAAUUACCCUUACAGUUUUGUUUAUACAACAUGUGAAAUUUUUUAUUUCAGUGUUAACCAUGUUCUGAAGAGCAUUCUGUUGAAAAAUCUUAUAUGUGAAUUGGUCUGCAGAUGACACUUCAGCAUUAAAGUAAUGUAUCAACUAUCAUCAUGUUUUUUUUGUUUUUUGGCCGCAAAAGUUUACAAUUUGCCAUUGUGCCGUCUACAUUUUGCACAGACAAUAAAUCAUCUAAACACUUAUUUGCCCUGGAUUUAUACACAUCAGAAUCCAGUCUCACAUACUUAAACUUUAUAAUUCUUACCAAUUAUUUUUUGUACCAGCAUUCCAAGGGACAUAACCCUUUUUAAAAACAUUUUGAGGUAUUUUUUAUUACUCUUUCUCCCCAUUUUCUAAUGUAAAAUACAAGAAAGUGGACUUUUUGUGUAAAUCUAUUAGAAAUAUACUGUUAUGAGUAAAUAAAAAGACUUUGAUACCAGUAAGCAAUAAAUGAUUGACUGAAAGGGAACCGUUAUUUUUGUCACACUAGGCGAACAGACCAAAAACUUGAGUUACACAUAAGGGCUUAUAGAAACUUCCGUGUAGACUGUUAACAUUUAUAGAGACAGUUCUUUCAGCUAAAACACUUUAAUUAUUGAUUUAACAUUACAUUUAUUUCAUUUUUGUGGGGAAAUAAUCACAUUUGUUUUAUUUUUUAGACAAAAGAUAUCAAGUUUUGAUGAAAAAGGAAGGAAGGAGGAAAAAUGGACCAAAACAGACCAAAACAGACCUUCAAAUGAACUCUAAAAGGUGCAAUAAAAUUGUUUAUCAUCUUAAAGUUGUCUUUUGUAUUCUAUUUAAUUGUUUGAAUGCAUAGAUCAUGAGUUUAUGAUCAGAUAUUAGUCAACACUGCAUUUUAUAAUGAUACACUGAAAUUAGGAUUUUUCGAAGAAAUUAGACUGAAAUUGCCGUAGGAUAUGGCCUUACAUUAUAGUGAUUUUCUCUGAAACUAUAGCUCUGACUGAGACAAAACUUGACAGUUAUGCUUGAAAUAACUUGCAAUUGGAGGGGAAAAAAUUACAUUAAGUUUAUUUGACAUUUAGGUGUUCUUUAGGGAAACUACAUGUGCACUCGUGACCUUAUUGUACUUUCAUUUUUAAAAGUUAUUAAUAAACCAGUUCAUACAUUGUAAACAUGGACUAUUCGGAAUGGAUUUAGACACAGAAAGCACGUUUGAGGUAAAAUUGCCUUGAAAUGGGGGUUUACGGGUGUUUUCUAGUCAAAUGGGUGGACAGACAAAGCUGUAUUUAGUUUACUGUGUUAAAUUUUAAAUAAUACCCUAACAGUUUUGUUUAUACAACAUGUGAAUUUUUUAUUUCAGUGUUCAUGUUCUGAAGAGCAUUCUGUUGAAAAAUCUUAUAUGUGAAUUGGUCUGCAGAUGACACUUCAGCAUUAAAGUAAGUAUCAACUAUCAUCAUGUUUUUUGUGUUUUUUUUGGCCGCAAAAGUUUACAAUUUGCCAUUGUGCCAUCUACAUUUUGCACAGACAAUAAAUCAUCUAAACACUUAUUUGCCCUGGAUUUAUACACAUCAGAAUCCAGUCUCACAUACUUAAACUUUAUAAUUCUUCCCAAUUAUUUUUUGUACCAGCAUUCCAAGGGACAUAACCCUUUUUAAAACAAUUUUUUGAAAUUUUCUUGCGACUCCUUCUUUUAAAAAUAGAAAGUGGACCCUUUUGUGUAAACUAUUAGAAAAACUGUUAUUAGAAUAAAUUAACAUUUGAUAGAACAAGAAAUUUUAAAUGAUUAUUGAUAAGGUAAAUAACCUGUUAUUAACAUAAAGAUUGACUGAAAGGGGAAGGUUGUCUCACACUAGGCGAAACAGACCAAAAACUCGAGUUACACAUAAGGGCUUAUAGAAACUUCCGUGUAGACUGUUAACAUUUAUAGAGACAGUUUCUUUUCAGCUAAACACUUUAAUUAUUGAUUUAACAUUAAGACAUUUAAUUCAUCAUUUUGUGUGGGGAAAUAUAUCACAUUUUUAAUUUUAGACAAAAGAUAUCAAGUUUUGAUGAUCUAUAAAGGGAAGGAAGGAGGGAAAAUGGACCAACAGAGACAAAAACAGACCUUCAAAAUGAACUCUAAAAGGUGCAAUUAAAAUUGUUUCUAUCAUCUUGUCAAGUUGUGUUUGUAUUCUAUUUAAUUGAGGAAUGAAGCAUAGAUAAUAUUUAUGAGACAUUAUGAUAUUAGUCAACACUGCCACUGAUUUUAACGAAAUAAGAACUUGGAUUUGGAUUUCGAAGAAAUGGACCUAAAGUUGCUGGGUAUCUAGAUAUAGUGAUUUUCUCUGACAUUAUAUGAGACUUGCAGCUCCUGCUUAACUAUUGCUGGAGAGUUUAUAUGACUGAUAAAUGACAUCAUGUAAUUGGAAAUUAGGGCGAAAAAAUUGCAAUUGCAAAGUACUUUUGAAAUUUCUGUUUUUAGGUGGAUUAGGGCAUAUAAAUGCUUGCACUCAUAUGUGUACAGUUUGUUACUUUCCAUUCAUUAAAGUUUUAACACCAGUUUAUAUACAUUUGUAAAAGGAAAUUCGGAAUGGAUUUAGACACAGAAAGUACGUUUGAAGUUAAAAUUGCAAAUACUGAAACAUGGGUUUACGGUGUUUUCACAAAGUCAACGUUGUGUGGGUGAGAACUGAAGCUGUGAAUUUAAGAUUAGACAGCUGUAUUUGCGUUUGUGUUAAAUUUUAAAUUACCCUUACAUUUUUGUUUGUUUACAAUGUCAAAUGUUUAUUUUUUAAGUUCUGAUUCAGCAUUACGUUGAACUGCUUAUAUGUUGAGAGAUGAGAUAUCAUUCAGCAUGUGUGAGUAUUUUUAUCAACUUUUCAGUUUUUUUAUGUUUUUGGCCGCAAAGUUUUGCAAUCUUAUCGUGCCAUUGUAUAAUUUGGUCUGCAACUUAUGAAUCCAGCAUUUAUAUGUACAUCAAAUACUCAUCAUAAAUUUUUUAAUUCUUACGCAAUUAGUUUUACAAUUUGCAUUUGCCGUCUAUCAAGGCAGACAAUAACUCCUUUUAAAACUUUACAUUUUGACUGGAUAUUUUUUCAGAAUCAGUCUCCUCCAUUAAAUCGCUAAUAUAAAUUCUUAAAAUUAGGAUUUGUACAGCCCAAGGACAUAAACUAAACAAGAGUUAAUAUAACUUUAAUGUAAUCAAGAUAAAUCUAUUAGAAAUAUAUUUGUUAUGAGUAAAUAAAAAGACUUUGAUACCAGUAACAAUAAAUGAUUGACUGAAAGGGAACCGUUAUUUGUCACACUAGGGAACAGACCAAAAACUCGAGUUACACAUAAGGGCUUAGGCUAGAAACUUCCGUGUAGUGACUGUUAAACAUUUAUAGAGACAGUUCUUUCAGCUAAAGCUAAACACUUUAAUAUUGAUUUAACAUUACAUUUAUAUCAUUUUUGUGGGGAAAUAAUCAUAUUUGUUUUAUUUUUUAGACAAAAGAUAUCAAGUUUUGAUGAAAAAGGAAGGAAGGAGGAAAAAUGGACCAAAACAGACCUUCAAAUGAACUCUAAAAGGUGCAAUAAAAUUGUUUAUCAUCUAAAAGUUGUCUUUUGUAUUCUAUUUAAUUGUUUGAAUGCAUAGAUCAUGAGUUUCUGAUCAGAUAUUAGUCAACACUGCAUUUUAUAAUGAUACACUGAAAUUAGGAUUUGUCGAAGAAAUUAGACUGAGAUUGCCGUAGGAUAUGGCCUUACAUUAUAGUGAUUUUCUCUGAAACUACAGCUCUGACUGAGACAAAACUUGACAGUUAUGCUUGAAAUAACAUGCAAUUGGAGGGGAAAAAAAUACAUUAAGUUUAUUUGACAUUUAGGUGUUAGGUAGUUUAUUUAAGCUGGGACGAUGCACGAAGUGUACAUUUUGGUUUGAUAGAACUUUAUUUUGAAAAGUUUAUAAAUGGUGACCAGUUGUUUUAUUGAUGGUCUUCAUUUGGGAGGUAAGCGGAGCAGUUUGGUUUCGUGCCUACAACGGAGAUGUGGAUUUAGUGAGAAUAGAUCAUGCAAAGUGUAUGAGUUGGUUUUACGUUGUGAUGUCUAUAAGUGUGAUAUGAAGUGUGAGGGAAACAUGUGCCAAAGCGUAUUGUACUUUCACUUGUUUAGAGUCACAUUGUAAACUGGAUUGGAAGGAUUUACACUUCUGAUAUGCAGAUGACGCAGUUAUUAGAUUAUGUGAUUAAUUGUUUAUUUGUUGUUUUGAAGAGGUGCAACCAUGUUCUGAAGCAUUCUGUGUUCAACGUGGUCUGAAGAUAUCUCAUAAAUAUCACUACACUGUUUUUUAUUAAACAGUUUGAAGUAUCAAUACUAAAUAUAAAGACUAUUUGAGGAUUGUACACAGCAGUAAAAGUUGGGGAUACUUCCAUUCAUUUUUUGGUCAGAAUAAUCUCUAUGGACAUAUACUGCCAAAUGGACUACAAAAUAAAUGUAAAAUACUUAAUUUCUUACUGUGGUAAUUUUCAAGACGCGACACGUUUGGCUUUUAAUAAUAGGACUGAAUAGGGUAACAGGUUGUAGAAUAGAAACAGAUCUCUUUAUGUGGAUUAACAACUGGUUUUAGGCUUUAGAUGUAACAAUAGUUAUAGUGAGAAUUUUGAAAGCUCUAAAUACUAUACAUAUUGGGACUUUUAAGUUAGACAAUAGAUCAGUUCAGAAAAUCAUAAAAUUACACAGGAAGGGAACUACUUUUUAGGAAUAAAAAUCAUUGAACAACACUUGAUUAUUGAUGGUUUGUAUAGAAACUUUUAUCUUCUGUGUCAAUCACUGGACUUUUGUAAUACAGAAAUAUAGAAGUUACUAUGAUUGAUAAAAAGAUUUGAUACAGCAAUAAGUUCUGACUUCAUUGUGUCUUUGAACCUAAAAAAUAGUUAGUUUAAAGUGACUGUUAUGAGAGUGAUUUAAAACAUAUAUUGAUUUAACAUUACAUUUAUUUCAUUUUUGUGGGAAAAUAAUCACAUUUUGUUUUAUUUUGGAGCCAACAUAUGAGAUUUUGAUGAUAAAAGGAAGAGGGAGGAAAAAUGGACCAAAACAGACCAAAACAGACUUCAAGUGAACUCUAAAAGGUGCAAUAAAAUUGUUUAUCAUCUUAAAGUUGUCUUUUGUAUUCUAUUUAAUUGUUUGAAUGCAUAUAUCAUGAGUUUAUGAUCAGAUAUUAGUCAACACUGCAUUUUAUAAUGAUACACUGAAAUUAGGAUUUUCGAAGAAAUUGGACUGAAAUUGCCGUAGAAUAUGGCUUACAUUAUAGUGAUUUUCUCUGAAACUAUAGUUCUGACUGAGACAAAACUUGACAGUUAUGCUUGAAAUAACUUGCAAUUGGAGGGAAAAUUGCAUUAAGUUUAUUUGACAUUAGGUGUUCUUUAGGUGUAAUACCACCAAAUCAUGGUACGUCACAUCCGGUUGCAUACGAAAGUAGGCCUAAAAAAAUAUUCCCUUGAAUUUGACAGUUGUAGAAAAUUAACCCUGCAUUUCAAUGCACUUAAAUUUUUUCUGAGUCGUAAAUAUGUAUGUUGGGUGUCUGAAAGCAUCAUUCUUUUUUUAUUUGAUGGUCUUAUAAAAUAUUUUGGAACGUUAAGGUUACAUAGUUACCAAAGCAGGUAACCAGUAAAUAACAGUGUAAAAAUUGGGUUGUCUACCCUCGGCGGUGGUUUACUUUCUUAUAUGCAAUGAAAUGUAGUGUGAAAUUUUCACUGUAUCACUGGAAAGGAUUGAACUUUUACACAUGCAAAGUAUUUCUUUGGUUGAAAUAAAGGUAAAUACUGUACGAUUUUUUUAAAAGUGCCAAUUUAACAAAGACUAAUAGGGAAAAAUCAAUGGUGGUAUUACACCUAUUUAGGGAAACUAAAUGUGCACUCGUGACCCUAUUGUACUUUCAUUUUUAAAAGUUAUUAAUAAACCAGUUCAUACAUUGUAAACAUGGACUAUUCGGAAUGGAUUUAGACACAGAAAGUACGUUUGAGGUAAAAUUGCAUUGAAAUGGGGGUUUACGGGUGUUUUCUUAGUCAAAUGGGUGGACAGACGAAGCUGUAUUUAGAUUACUGUGUUAAAUUUUAAAUUACCCUUACAGUUUUUGUUUUGUUUAUACAACAUGUGAAUUUUUUAUUUCAGUGUUAACCAUGUUCUGAAGAGCAUUCUGUUGAAAAAUCUUAUAUGUGAAUUGGUCUGCAGAUGACACAUCAGCAUUAAAGUAUGUAUCAACUAUCAUCAUGUUUUUUUUUGUUUUGGCCGCAAAAGUUUACAAUUUGCCAUUGUGCCGUCUACAUUUUGCACAGACAAUAACUCAUCUAAACACUUAUUUGUCCUGGAUUUAUACACAUCAGAAUCCAGUCUCACAUACUUAAACUUUAUAAUUCUUACCAAUUAUUUUUUGUACCAGCAUUCCAAGGGACAUAACCCUUUUUAAAAACAUUUUGAGGUAUUUUUUAUUACUCUUUCUCCCCAUUUUCUAAUGUAAAAUACAAGAAAGUGGACUUUUUGUGUAAAUCUAUUAGAAAUAUACUGUUAUGAGUAAAUAAAAAGACUUUGAUACCAGUAGCAAUAAAUGAUUGACUGAUGAAAGGGAACCGUUAUUUCUCACACUAGGGAACAGACCAAAAACUCAAGUUACACAUAAGGGCUUAUAGAAACUUCCGUGUAGACUGUUAACAUUUAUAGAGACAGUUCUUUCAGCUAAAACACUUUAAUUAUUGAUUUAACAUUACAUUUAUUUCAUUUUUGUGGGAAAAUAAUCACAUUUGUUUUAUUUUUUAGACAAAAGAUAUCAAGUUUUGAUGAAAAAGGAAGGAAGGAGGAAAAAUGGACCAAAACAGACCAAAACAGACCUUCAAAUGAACUCUAAAAGGUGCAAUAAAAUUGUUUAUCAUCUUAAA
rnacentral:lncRNA from 1 species